ensembl:lncRNA novel transcript
AGGAGGCCUCUAUCAGAGCAAAGAAUUUGGAGCUGCUUCCAAUCUGAAACUUCCUUAGCGUUGUAAAAAGCACCCUUCAUUCGAAAUCGCUCAGUGCCUGGACUCAGAGAAAGUGGGAGAGUUACCAAGGCUCGGCCCCCAAGGCACAGUGAGAAGAAACUGAGGCAAUGCCAAGAACACCCCGACCUCAUGAGCUUCAAAGAAGCUGCUGCUGCAGUUCCCGGUUCUGAGGCACCUCCAAGACCACUCUCAUCCAAACUCUCAAAACACUCCCCUUGGGUGAGCUGUCCCUUAAAAGGAACAGGGCUGGGCCUUCACAAAGGCUCCUGUGAGACUUCUACCCCCUAUGGGUCUGGUAGCACCAAGGGAUUUCUCAUGCUAUGACCACAGACAUCAUCAAGAGGGUAGAGAGACCAAGUGGCCAGUGAAUUGGCACACAUGAAGAUUCUUUGUGAUCUGUAAAGAAAGUGUAAAAUCUGCAACAAACUGUGGAAUAAUCUGACAUAGGAAGAGGUGGAUGGUACAGAAGAACAAUAAAAUAAUAGCCAGCC